UACGGGGGGGGCAAGCGUUGUUCGGAAUUACUGGGCGUAAAGGGCGCGUAGGCGGCUCGCUAAGUCGGAUGUGAAAACUCUGGGCUCAACCCAGAGCCUGCAUUCGAAACUGACGAGCUGGAGUUCUGGAGGGGAAAGCGGAAUUCCUGGUGUAGCGGUGAAAUGCGCAGAUAUCAGGAAGAACACCUAUGGCGAAGGCAGCUCUCUGGGACGGUACUGACGCUGAGACGCGAAAGCGUGGGGAGCGAACAGG
rnacentral:rRNA from 1 species